rnacentral:ribozyme from 1 species
UAUGUGCCCAAAUAGAAAACUUGUAUCGGUUCUAGCCCUGGUUGCGAUAUCAAAUGCAAAUCUGGAGGUAAAGGAGGAGU